UACGUAGGGUGCGAGCGUUAAUCGGAAUUACUGGGCGUAAAGCGUGCGCAGGCGGUUAUAUAAGACAGUUGUGAAAUCCUGCAGCUCAACUGUAGAACAGCCAUUGAAACUGAAUAGCUUGAGUAAUCUUGAGGUAGGCGGAAUGUGUAGUGUAGCGGUGAAAUGCUUAGAUAUUACACAGAACACCGAUUGCGAAGGCAGCUUACUAAGGAUUUACUGACGCUGAUGCACGAAAGCGUGGGGAUCAAACAGG
rnacentral:rRNA from 1 species